UACGGGGGGGGCAAGCGUUGUUCGGAAUUACUGGGCGUAAAGGGCUCGUAGGCGGCCAACUAAGUCAGACGUGAAAUCCCUCGGCUUAACCGGGGAACUGCAUCUGAUACUGGAUGGCUUGAGAUUGGGAGAGGGAUGCGGAAUUCCAGGUGUAGCGGUGAAAUGCGUAGAUAUCUGGAGGAACACCGGUGGCGAAGGCGGCAUCCUGGACCAUUACUGACGCUGAGGCGCGAAAGCUAGGGGAGCAAACGGG
rnacentral:rRNA from 1 species